rnacentral:rRNA from 1 species
CCAGCACCUGCGGUAAUUCCAGCUCUAAUAGCGUAUAUUAAAGUUGUUGCAGUUAAAAAGCUCGUAGUCGGAAGUCGGGCUCGGGCAGGCUGUCGGCCUCGGUUGGGCAGCUUGCUUGGGUCUUCUAGCUCGGGGGCCCCGUGCCAUUUAACCGUGGUGCGCGGGAACACGGGCCGUUUACUUUGAAAAAAUUAGAGUGUUCAAAGCAGGCUAUUGCUUGAAUAUAUUAGCAUGGAAUAAUGGAAUAGGACUUUGGUGCUAUUUCGUUGGUUAUGGGACCGAGGUAAUGAUUAAUAGGGACAGUUGGGGCCGUUCAUAUUUCGUUGUCAGAGGUGAAAUUCUUGGAUUUACGAACGAUGAACUUAUGCGAAAGCAUUCGGCAAGGAUGUUUUCAUUGAUCAAGAACGAAAGU